CAUGAAAAUUAUGGCUAUAAUUUAUAGCAGCAUGACCCCCACAACACGACGAAGAAGCAGCACAAAAUCCAUCAACAUCAGAAUAAUGAUUAUGUGAAAACACUUGACGAUGAGGUUUGUUCAAAUUGUUUGUAGUACUAGUCUCCAAGAUCUUAUCAGUUGAGUCAUUUCUUGAUUCUCCUUGGAAUGUUAACUUAAUAGUUUUUGUAACCUCAACAGUUUGCAAUCCUGGAAUUCCAGACAAUUGCUCUAGUUGUGUCAUAAUAUCCGGAUCAUUCAGCGGAUUAAUCACUUUUGAUUGUGUGAUGAUCUGAACAUUUUUCGCGCUGUUGUUUACAGGAGUUCCUUGCUCCCACAGAAUUUCUGCUUUUCUACCAAGUUUUUCCAGUACGUUCAGUAUUGUUGCAGGAUCAACUGUGCCUGAAAUAAUUACAUUUCCAAGCUUUUCAUCAAUUUUCACGAAAUGGACACCUUGGAUU
rnacentral:lncRNA from 1 species